UACGUCGGGCGCAAGCGUUAUCCGGAAUUAUUGGGCGUAAAGAGCUCGUAGGCGGUUUGUCGCGUCUGCCGUGAAAGUCCGGGGCUCAACUCCGGAUCUGCGGUGGGUACGGGCAGACUAGAGUGAUGUAGGGGAGACUGGAAUUCCUGGUGUAGCGGUGAAAUGCGCAGAUAUCAGGAGGAACACCGAUGGCGAAGGCAGGUCUCUGGGCAUUAACUGACGCUGAGGAGCGAAAGCAUGGGGAGCGAACAGG
rnacentral:rRNA from 1 species